rnacentral:rRNA from 1 species
AAUCAACGCUGGCGGCGUGCCUCAGACAUGCAAGUCGAACGAUUAAAGCUCCCUUCGGGGAGUGCAUAAAGUGGCGCACGGGUGAGUAACACGUAAGUAAUCUACCCUCGAGUGGGGAAUAACGUCCGGAAACGGACGCUAAUACCGCAUAAUGCAGCGGCACCGCAAGGUGACAGUUGUUAAAGAUUUAUCGCUUGAGGAGGAGCUUGCGGCAGAUUAGCUAGUUGGUAAGGUAAUGGCUUACCAAGGCCGCGAUCUGUAACCGGUCUAAGAGGACGGUCGGUCACACUGACACUGAAUGACGGGUCAGACUCCUACGGGAGGCAGCAGUCGGGAAUUUUGGGCAAUGGGCGAAAGCUUGACCCAGCAACGCCGCGUGAAGGAUGAAGUAUUUCGGUAUGUAAACUUCGAAAGAAUGGGAAGAAUAAAUGACGGUACCAUUUAUAAGCUCCGGCUAACUACGUGCCAGCCGCCGCGGUAAAAC